rnacentral:rRNA from 1 species
UACGGAAGGCAGCAGUGGGGAAUAUUGCACAAAUGGGCGCAAGCCUGAUGCAGCCAUGCCGCGUGUAUGAAGAAGGCCUUCGGGUUGUAAAGUACUUUCAGUCGUGAGGAAGGUGUUAAGGUUAAUAACCUUAGCAAUUGACGUUAGCGACAGAAGAAGCACCGGCUAACUCCGUGCCAGCAGCCGCGGUAAUACGGAGGGUGCGAGCGUUAAUCGGAAUUACUGGGCGUAAAGGGCACGCAGGCGGUUAAUUAAGUUGGAUGUGAAAUCCCCGGGCUUAACCUGGGAAUGGCAUUCAAGACUGGUUAGCUAGAGUCUUGUAGAGGGGGUAGAAUUCCAUGUGUAGCGGUGAAAUGCGUAGAGAUGUGGAGGAAUACCGGUGGCGAAGGCGGCCCCCGGACGAAAGACUGACGCUCAUGUGCGAAAGCGUGGGGAGCAAACGAGGGAUAGAUACC